UACGGAGGGUGCAAGCGUUAUCCGGAUUCACUGGGUUUAAAGGGUGCGUAGGUGGGCUGGUAAGUCAGUGGUGAAAUCUCCAGGCUUAACUUGGAAACUGCCAUUGAUACUAUCAGUCUUGAAUACCGUGGAGGUCAGCGGAAUAUGUCAUGUAGCGGUGAAAUGCUUAGAUAUGACAUAGAACACCAAUUGCGAAGGCAGCUGGCUACACAAAUAUUGACACUGAGGCACGAAAAGCGUGGGGAUCAA
rnacentral:rRNA from 1 species